GACAGAGGGUGCAAACGUUGUUCGGAAUUACUGGGCGUAAAGCGCGUGUAGGCAGUUUCGCAAGUCGGGUGUGAAAGCCCCUGGGCUCAACCUAGGAAGUGCACUCGAAACUGCGAGACUUGAGUCCUGGAGAGGAAGGCGGAAUUCUCGGUGUAGAGGUGAAAUUCGUAGAUAUCGAGAGGAACACCGGUGGCGAAGGCGGCCUUCUGGACAGUGACUGACGCUGAGACGCGAAAGCGUGGGGAGCAAACAGGG
rnacentral:rRNA from 1 species